rnacentral:rRNA from 1 species
UACGUAGGGUGCGAGCGUUGUCCGGAAUUAUUGGGCGUAAAGAGCUCGUAGGCGGUGUGUCACGUCGGCCGUGAAAACCUGGGGCUUAACUCUGGGCGUGCGGUCGAUACGGGCAUCACUAGAGUUCGGCAGGGGAGACUGGAAUUCCUGGUGUAGCGGUGAAAUGCGCAGAUAUCGGGAGGAACACCAGUGGCGAAGGCGGUACUCUGGGCCGGAACUGACGCUGAGGAGCGAAAGCGUGGGGAGCGAACAGG